AUUGAACGCUGGCGGCAUGCCUUACACAUGCAAGUCGAACGGCAGCAUGGGUGCUUGCACCUGAUGGCGAGUGGCGAACGGGUGAGUAAUGCAUCGGAACGUACCCGGAAGUGGGGGAUAACGUAGCGAAAGUUACGCUAAUACCGCAUAUUCUGUGAGCAGGAAAGCGGGGGAUCGCAAGACCUCGCGCUUCCGGAGCGGCCGAUGUCGGAUUAGCUAGUUGGCGGGGUAAAGGCCCACCAAGGCAACGAUCCGUAGCGGGUCUGAGAGGAUGAUCCGCCACACUGGGACUGAGACACGGCCCAGACUCCUACGGGAGGCAGCAGUGGGGAAUUUUGGACAAUGGGCGCAAGCCUGAUCCAGCCAUGCCGCGUGAGU
rnacentral:rRNA from 1 species